rnacentral:rRNA from 1 species
UACGUAGGUGGCAAGCGUUGUCCGGAUUUACUGGGCGUAAAGGAUGCGUAGGCGGACAUUUUAAGUCAGAUGUGAAAUACCCCGAGCUUAACUUGGGUGCUGCAUUUUGAAACUGGGUGUCUAGAGUGCAGGAGAGGUAAGUGGAAUUCCUAGUGUAGCGGUGAAAUGCGUAGAGAUUAGGAAGAACACCAGUGGCGAAGGCGACUUACUGGACUGUAACUGACGCUGAGGCAUGAAAGCGUGGGGAGCAAACAGG